rnacentral:rRNA from 1 species
GAAUGGCACCACGAAGGUUACACUGUCUCCUUUUUCUAAUCAGCAAAACUAAUCUUCCCGUGAAGAAGCGGGAAUUUUUAUAUAAGACGAGAAGACCCUAUGGAGCUUUAAACGAAAUAACAACUACCUUUAUUACUCCAAUUUCAGAAGACAAACAUUAACUCUGGUAUAAUGAUUACUAGUUUUAGGUUGGGGUGACCGCGGAGCAAAAAACAACCUCCACGCUGAAUGGACCUACACUCCUAAGCAAAAAGCUACAACUUUAUGUAUCAACAAAUUGACACCUAUUGACCCAAUAAUUUGAUCAACGAACCAAGUUACCCUAGGGAUAACAGCGCAAUCCAUUUCAAGAGCCCCUAUCGACAAAUGG